AAGUAGCUCUCGUUGGUGACAGCGGAGGGAUCAUUACCGAGUUUACAACUCCCAAACCCAAUGUGAACCAUACCAAACUGUUGCCUCGGCGGGGUCACGCCCCGGGUGCGUCGCAGCCCCGGAACCAGGCGCCCGCCGGAGGGACCAACCAAACUCUUUUCUGUAGUCCCCUCGCGGACGUUAUUUCUUACAGCUCUGAGCAAAAAUUCAAAAUGAAUCAAAACUUUCAACAACGGAUCUCUUGGUUCUGGCAUCGAUGAAGAACGCAGCGAAAUGCGAUAAGUAAUGUGAAUUGCAGAAUUCAGUGAAUCAUCGAAUCUUUGAACGCACAUUGCGCCCGCCAGUAUUCUGGCGGGCAUGCCUGUCCGAGCGUCAUUUCAACCCUCGAACCCCUCCGGGGGGUCGGCGUUGGGGACCUCGGGAGCCCCUAAGACGGGAUCCCGGCCCCGAAAUACAGUGGCGGUCUCGCCGCAGCCUCUCCUGCGCAGUAGUUUGCACAACUCGCACCGGGAGCGCGGCGCGUCCACGUCCGUAAAACACCCAACUUUCUGAAAUGUUGACCUCGGAUCAGGUAGGAAUACCCGCUGAACUUAAGCAUAUCAAUAAGCCGGAGGAA
rnacentral:rRNA from 1 species